rnacentral:sRNA from 1 species
GAAUAGCCCCGAUAGAAGCGGUAUCCUUUUUUGCUUUUUUCGGCAAAAAAGAUACAAGUGGAUAGCGGGACAAAAG